rnacentral:rRNA from 1 species
UGGGGAAUAUUGCGCAAUGGAGGAAACUCUGACGCAGCAACGCCGCGUGAAGGAUGAAGGUUUUCGGAUCGUAAACUUCUUUGAUCGGGGAAGAUAAUGACGGUACCCGAAGAACAAGCCACGGCUAACUACGUGCCAGCAGCCGCGGUAAUACGUAGGUGGCAAGCGUUGUCCGGAAUUACUGGGCGUAAAGGGCGUGUAGGCGGGAAGGCAAGUCAGAAGUGAAAUCCCAGGGCUUAACUCUGGAGCUGCUUCUGAAACUGUUUUUCUUGAGUGUCGGAGAGGUAAGUGGAAUUCCCAGUGUAGCGGUGAAAUGCGUAGAGAUUGGGAGGAACACCAGUGGCGAAGGCGACUUACUGGACGAUAACUGACGCUGAGGCGCGAAAGCGUGGGGAGCAAACAGG